CUUUUACAAACUGCAAUACGUAACUGCUCAGAGUUUUUAAACACAGCUGGCUAGCCUGAAGCCCCACAGAGUCGCAUACUGUGUUUGGAGAGGAUCUGGCACAGCUGGAUCUAGCACAAGAGCAUUUUCCCUGGGAACAAUGAGGCUUUAACACAGCAAGAGAGGGGUCUGUACACCAGCUGACCAGUUCAAACAGGAAUCUUUCGCUGGAUGUUGGUCUGUUCAGCAUUCUGAUGGCAGCUGGAUGACAGACGUAGAUCACAUGAUACCGGCUUCAGAGAUAAUAGAGGCUAUUAAUAGCAAUGACAGCAAGUGCUCAGCCCUGUGCAGUAAACCUAGAUACCUGAUACAAGGCUCAGACACACUUCCAUCCCAUAAUGCAGUAGGUAAACUGCACACUACAUUAAUAGCAUACUAUCUGACUUGAGAAAAUUGAGAUUUCUCUAACAAAAGAACAUAAAUCAUUUGAUAUGGCUUAUCAAAUGAGUGCAAGCUUUGUGGUUUAUUUCAAAUACAUGAUUCACACACACACACACACACACACACACACACACACACACACACACACACACAAAGAGUUUUCUGUUACUAAGCACAUAUUGUGUUGAAAAUAUGAUGGAAGUAAAACUAAGUAAAACUAACGUUGAGUUUCACACUUCUCUCACUAUCUGUGUCAGCUCUAUGUAAAGAUGAAGUGUUUCGACUGAGACACACAGAUUGUUUGAUAUUAAACAGCGAGAGUCAAGGAGGUUUCGUGGAGCUGCAUACUAACUGGGUUGUGGUGUGUUUAUCAGAAUCCCUCCAAGGAAAUUUCAGUUGUGCCAAAGUGAGGUUGAGGGCGUGGAUGGGGAAAGUCAGAGAUGGAGGAUGGAUGAAUCCUGUAACCCAACGCAAUAUUUGUUUGUGGAAUCGUGCCUUCAGACUCUUCCAUGAUCUCAUCUUCGGUAAAAUGAGUGUAUCUGCUGUGGCCCCCUGCCAGAAGAGGAAUGAAGUGUGUGAUGAAGUACUCAUGCUGUUGCUCACGCAUAAUUGGCUUAAACAAUUCAAGUGCUCGGCAUUUAGAUAAUUACCUACAAUCAAAUCAAAUAUCACACAUAUUCGUGAUAGUGAGCAAUGGUAAUGAAAUCCAGAAAGAUUGCAAAAAGCGGUGUUAUCCAACAUGCUUCAAUGUUACGGCAUAUUAGUCACUGAACACUUUAAUGCCAGCUGAAAAAUCUGCCAUUUAAAGGAGUAGUUCUUUCAUCAUUUACUCACUCUCAGUGCCGCCGCUUCCUAUGUGCAGAGUACGCAGUUUCCAUAAGGCACCAAUCCCGGGGGGUACUGGAUACAAAUGAUCAUCAGAAUUAAUGGAC
ensembl:lncRNA